UGUUACGUUAACAUUUCCCCAGAACAAUUCAAUAAGGGUUUGGUCUCUUAUAUUUAUUGAUUGGCAGAGAAAAAAAAAUGGAGAUGUGAGUCCCGACAAAGUUUUACGAUGAAUUCUGUAUGAUCCUGAAGGCACCAUGGCUAGUCCGUCGUACACUCUGAGAAAAAAAGGAGUCGAACGAGAGUAUUAGGCAAUUUUACACCCCUUGAUGCAGUUUAACUCUCACCAAACACCAUUGCAACUCCCUGUUUCUGCGUUUCUAUGUUUUCAUGCUCUAAUAACUCCAUUCAACCAGCGCUUUACUCCGUGGUAAGAGUUGAGCGCGAGGCGUCUUCAUAUUCUUGGACCGUUUCCGUUCUUUUCAUUGCCUAGUCUAGCAACACUGACAUCGUGCGGUCGUUUAGCGGUUGGCCGUUGUCGUGCGGGAACUUGAAACUGUAUCAAUGAUGUUCUCAAAGCUGAAUAAGAUUAUCGUCGAAGAACAACGUCGGCGUGCUGAAGUGCAAUGAAUGCCACAACUACAAAUCAUGUGUCUGAAUGUCGUCCUGUAUGUACUUCAGUUAUGCUUCUUCAAGAGAGUUUCUUUUCGUAAGUGGACCUUUGUAUCCUAAGAAGUCUAACUUCUUUGAAGAACAGGAACUUCAAAUUGACGAUAAGUGAAAUCGUAUUUUGGAUAGGACGCUUUGUUAAUUAAUGUGAACAGCAUUGCAGAAUAGUCUGGCUUUGAUGGAACGCACUGCAGAUGACGAAGUUGGCAAGUUACCUAACGGCUAGCAUCACUCGGCAUGUCUCUGGAAUGAGAAGUGAACUGUGCAGGUUGUGGUAAGGAGGUACCCUGCACUGGUAAGUUUCAAUGGGGUAGGUAUAUUACCGCCGUUCUGUAUUAUCAUUCACGUGUAUCCUGCCGAAGACAAGUGGUGUCAGUGCAGGGGCGGAUCCAGUCCGUGUCGCUUUUGUUGUUGUUGUUUGUUUGUCGAAGCCCCUAAGUGGGGGGCGGCGAGGGGGGGACACCGCUGCUAAACCUACUGUUUUCAGCCGGGGGGGGGGGGGGCGAUCGCCCAACCGUCCCUCCCCCCGGAUCUGCCACUGCAUGAUCAGUGUUGAGUUCUAAUGCUGUUGUUACUGUUUCAGAUUUACGAGUCGUAUGCACGGCACAUUGGGCAGACAGAGAAAAGAAAGUGCUGCUCCACCUCCACAAAAGGAUGGAUGCACAUUGCAAGGAAGACAAAGGGACUAGUUAGAGUAAUGAUCAGCUCACAAAUGAGAAUAUUACUGAUGGACAAGAUAAUUAUUACCCAGCAUGAGCAAUUCAUGCCCUUGCUCAUCUGCUGAAGGAGGUGCAUCUGACCUUUUCACUUGUGAGUUGGAAGUAUAUGCCAGGUGAUAGUUGCAUUGGGUGUGUGGCAACCUUAUAAUGAAAGAAUGUACUUGUACCUGUGGCAUCCUACCAGUGGUUUUCAUAGGAUCAUAUUAAGCACUGAAAGCUUCCUUUUUCUGUUCUUGCCAAUUUGUAUCAGAGACACAAUAAAUGUUUCUUAUUUAGA